rnacentral:rRNA from 1 species
AGGACGAACGCUGGCGGCGUGCUUAACACAUGCAAGUCGAGCGACGCAUCCUUUCGGGGGUGACGGAGCGGCGAACGGGUGAGUAACACGUGGGCAACCUGCCCUCAGCUCUGGGACAACUCCGGGAAACCGGGGCUAAUACCGGAUACGACAUCGGAUCGCAUGGUCUGGUGUGGAAAGUUUUUCGGCUGGGGAUGGGCCCGCGGCCUAUCAGCUUGUUGGUGGGGUGAAGGCCUACCAAGGCGACGACGGGUAGCCGGCCUGAGAGGGCGACCGGCCACACUGGGACUGAGACACGGCCCAGACUCCUACGGGAGGCAGCAGUGGGGAAUAUUGCGCAAUGGGCGAAAGCCUGACGCAGCGACGCCGCGUGGGGGAUGAAGGCCUUCGGGUUGUAAACCUCUUUCAGCAGGGACGAAUUCAGACGGUACCUGCAGAAGAAGCACCGGCCAACUACGUGCCAGCAGCCGC